rnacentral:rRNA from 1 species
UGGGGAAUUGUUCGCAAUGGGCGCAAGCCUGAUCCAGCCAUGCCGCGUGAGUGAAGAAGGCCUUCGGGUUGUAAAGCUCUUUUACCAGGGACGAUAAUGACGGUACCUGGAGAAUAAGCCCCGGCAAACUUCGUGCCAGCAGCCGCGGUAAUACGAAGGGGGCUAGCGUUGUUCGGAAUUACUGGGCGUAAAGCGCACGUAGGCGGAUUGUUAAGUCAGAGGUGAAAUCCCGGAGCUCAACUUCGGAACUGCCUUUGAUACUGGCAAUCUAGAGUCCGGAAGAGGUUAGUGGAAUUCCCAGUGUAGAGGUGAAAUUCGUAGAUAUUGGGAAGAACACCAGUGGCGAAGGCGGCUAACUGGUCCGGUACUGACGCUGAGGUGCGAAAGCGUGGGGAGCAAACAGGAUUAGAUACCCAAGUAGUCCCUGAGCGGGCUGGCAAGGCGCAU